ensembl:lncRNA
UACACACACACACACUCACACACACCUUGAUUUCUACUCUAUCUCAGUUCCUCCUGUCCUCGCAUUGUGUCCGUCUUCACACUCCUCUUACACACACACAGCAGCAGCACUGCACCUAUCAGAGCUCCAUAUGCGCACACACACUCCCAUGCUCUCUCUCUCUCUCACAUACACACAUGGUCACUGCAGCGUCCCGGUCUUCAUUAGCAGCACUGAGCUGAGAGGAUGCAGCGCUCUGGAUUCCAUAUCACACACACACACACACACACACACACACACACACACACACACACACACACCAACACACGCACGCACAGCUGUGAUGGAAGUCGCUACGGCCACUACAACGUGGACGUGGAAGCAGUGUUCUCCGAGCUCUCUCCUCUUCUCCUUCUCAUCUCAUGCCUUUUUCUUCACUUCUUCCUCUCCUCCUAUCCUUUGUGAGUGCCUGUGUAAAUGUAUGUAUGUAUGUAUGUAUGUGUGUGUGUGUGUGUGUGUGUGUGUAUGUGUGUGUGUGUGUGUGUGUGUGUGUGUGUGUGGGAGAGAGAGAGAGAGAGAGAGAGAGAGAGAGAGAGAGAGAGAGACACACAGAUGGUUGAACGAACAGUCGUCUGUGUGUGUUUUGGGUCAGGGCCGUGUUGCCUUGGCAUUUCGAUGUAAUGCUAAUACUGUGUAUAAUUUAAUUACAUUAGUGCUGUAGAGAACAGCAGAGAACACACUCUCUCUCUCUCUCUCUCCCACACACACACACACACACACACACAGUGUUGAUUCUGCGCAAGUGCACUGGAGUGAGUGGCACUGCUGAGAAACAGUUAAUCACACACAGCAAUGUCAUUAGCACAGGGCGUUGUGGGUAAGGACGUGCUGACUUUGGCCGUGUCAGGUGUUCCUGUGCUGCUUAAUGUGGACUCCUGCUUAACACGCACAGAAGAACACACACACACACACACAAUAAUUAUGGGUUGACUACAAGAAAGAAAUGAUGGGCAGUGAGGCUUCAAUGCUUCAGUGCUGACAAACCUACUGACCUAGAACAACACACACACACCAAUAUAAAGGACCAAAGGAGGUCACACGAGUUACAUUCAUGUAGGAGUGUAAAAAUAAAUGUUACAGUUUUACAGGGGUUUUUUUUACUAUAAAAUAAAUAAAUAAAUGAGUUAUUAUUCGUGGACAUUCGGAAGUCCAUUCAAAAUCAAACCAGAUCACAUACACCAGUAAAAACAAAACAAAAUCGUCAGGAAGUUUGUCAGUAGCUGCAUUUGCAGCUGACCCAAAAGCCAAGUCCAUAUACUUGGCGCAUCGGGGGGUUCUGGUUCGCGUUAAAUAUAGUCGCUGGUUUUCUCUGCUGGGACCUCAGAUUGGGUCAGAGGUAGAAAUGGAGUGGGCAGGGAUGUGAAAAGAGAAAUGGCGGGUUUGAAUUUAGCACAGGAACAUGCAUUUUUAUUCAUAACAUAAAGUCUUUCCGGAUGUACGGUACAGUCUCCUCAUGCACGCGAAACAUGGCUUAACACCUACUUCAUUACAUAUCAUUAAAGCUUAUUAUUCAGUAGCUAAUAGUAAUUAUUCAGUGAAACUAAUAGGAAUGAUGUACAGUUAUGAGAAUAGUUUGUGAGUCUGGACACACUGAU